rnacentral:rRNA from 1 species
AAUAUUUUGAACCGCAUGGUUCAAAAGUGAAAGACGGUCUUGCUGUCACUUAUAGAUGGAUCCGCGCUGCAUUAGCUAGUUGGUAAGGUAACGGCUUACCAAGGCAACGAUGCAUAGCCGACCUGAGAGGGUGAUCGGCCACACUGGAACUGAGACACGGUCCAGACUCCUACGGGAGGCAGCAGUAGGGAAUCUUCCGCAAUGGGCGAAAGCCUGACGGAGCAACGCCGCGUGAGUGAUGAAGGUCUUCGGAUCGUAAAACUCUGUUAUUAGGGAAGAACAUAUGUGUAAGUAACUGUGCACAUCUUGACGGUACCUAAUCAGAAAGCCACGGCUAACUACGUGCCAGCAGCCGCGGUAAUACGUAGGUGGCAAGCGUUAUCCGGAAUUAUUGGGCGUAAAGCGCGCGUAGGCGGUUUUUUAAGUCUGAUGUGAAAGCCCACGGCUCAACCGUGGAGGGUCAUUGGAAACUGGAAAACUUGAGUGCAGAAGAGGAAAGUGGAAUUCCAUGUGUAGCGGUGAAAUGCGCAGAGAUAUGGAGGAACACCAGUGGCGAAGGCGACUUUCUGGUCUGUAACUGACGCUGAUGUGCGAAAGCGUGGGGAUCAAACAGGAUUAGAUACCCUGGUAGUCCACGCCGUAAACGAUGAGUGCUAAGUGUUAGGGGGUUUCCGCCCCUUAGUGCUGCAGCUAACGCAUUAAGCACUCCGCCUGGGGAGUACGACCGCAAGGUUGAAACUCAAAGGAAUUGACGGGGACCCGCACAAGCGGUGGAGCAUGUGGUUUAAUUCGAAGCAACGCGAAGAACCUUACCAAAUCUUGACAUCCUUUGACAACUCUAGAGAUAGAGCCUUCCCCUUCGGGGGACAAAGUGACAGGUGGUGCAUGGUUGUCGUCAGCUCGUGUCGUGAGAUGUUGGGUUAAGUCCCGCAACGAGCGCAACCCUUAAGCUUAGUUGCCAUCAUUAAGUUGGGCACUCUAAGUUGACUGCCGGUGACAAACCGGAGGAAGGUGGGGAUGACGUCAAAUCAUCAUGCCCCUUAUGAUUUGGGCUACACACGUGCUACAAUGGACAAUACAAAGGGCAGCGAAACCGCGAGGUCAAGCAAAUCCCAUAAAGUUGUUCUCAGUUCGGAUUGUAGUCUGCAACUCGACUACAUGAAGCUGGAAUCGCUAGUAAUCGUAGAUCAGCAUGCUACGGUGAAUACGUUCCCGGGUCUUGUACACACCGCCCGUCACACCACGAGAGUUUGUAACACCCGAAGCCGGUGGAG